GCAGAUGUAGUUCAGUGGUAGAACACGACCUUGCCAAGGUUGCAACGCGAGUUCAAUUCUCGUCAUCUGCUCCA
rnacentral:tRNA from 1 species